UGAAAGGGUGCGGUAAGAGCGCACCGCGCGGCUGGUAACAGUCCGUGGCACGGUAAACUCCACCCGGAGCAAGGCCAAAUAGGGGUUCAUAAGGUACGGCCCGUACUGAACCCGGGUAGGCUGCUUGAGCCAGUGAGCGAUUGCUGGCCUAGAUGAAUGACUGUCCACGACAGAACCCGGCUUAUCGGUCAGUUUCACCU
rnacentral:RNase_P_RNA from 1 species